GUUCUCGUAGCUCAGUUGGCUAGAGCGUUGGCUGUACUAAAGUCUUCCCCUUGCUGGCGUGGGUUCAAAUCUCACCGAGGCCG
rnacentral:tRNA from 1 species